rnacentral:rRNA from 1 species
GAUGAACGCUGGCGGCGUGCCUAAUACAUGCAAGUCGAACGACCACACGAGGAGCUUGUUCCUUUGCCGUUAGCGGGUGACGGGUGAGUAAGACGUGCAUAACCUUCUUCUAUGUCUGGGAUAAUUACGUGAAAACACAUCUAAUACUAGAUCAUAUAUUCAACCGCUUAGUGCAAUAGUUAAAGACGCCUUUGCUGUUUCUUUGAGCUGAAUCCGCGCUGCAUUGUAUAGUUGGUAAGGGAACGGCUUACCAAGGCAACGAUGCGUAGCUGACCUGAGAGGGUGAUCGGCCACACUGGAACUGAGACACGGUCCAGACUCCUACGGGAGGCAGCAGUAGGGAAUCUUGCGCAAUGGGCGAAAGCCUGACGGAGCAACGCCGCGUGAGUGAUGAAGGUCUUCGGAUCGUAAAGCUCUGUUAUUAGGGAAGAACAAAUGUGUAAGUAAAUAUGCACGUCUUGACGGUACCUAAUCAGAAAGCCACGGCUAACUACGUG